UGAAAAUCCAGGAGAAACUUGUCUUGUGCUAUUCUUCUUUCCUCAUGGGAUGGGGAUGGGAGAUCCAGUUGAAAAGAUGUCUAGGAGACCACUGCAGCAUAAAGAUAUGAAAUAUGCCUGACUUUGCUACCUUUUCCAACUUCAUAAAUUUAAGCUUAGGAAAGUCCUAUUGUUUCAGCAAUUUGCCUUUACGUUUCUAAUAGAGAAUUUUUUUGUGUAACAGUCAUGCGUACUGAAGUUUUAAAGGUUUUGUCAUUCACAUUUAUAAUUCACCCAGACUCCAAGGUGUGCUUCAGAAUUUUUUUAUGGAGCCAUAGUGGUGCAGUGGUUAGAAUACAUCAUUGCAGACUAGAAUGCCCACAGCCAGGAGUUCGAUUCUGACUGGCUCAAAUUUAACUCAGCCUUCCAUCCUUCCAAGAAAAAAUAAUUGCUACCAACCUGCCUUCCAUUGAGGACCUGUAUACUGCACGAAUCAAGAGGGCCGUGAAAAUAUUUACAGACCCCUCGCAUCCUGGACAUAAACUGUUUCAACUCCUACCCUCAAAACGACACCAUAGAGCACUGCACACAGAACAACUAGACACAAGAACAGUUUUUUCCCGAAGGCCAUCACUCUGCUAAACAAAUAAUUCCAUCAACACUGUCAAACUAUGUACUGAAUCUGCACUACUAUUAAUCGUCUCAUAGUUCCCCAUCACCAAUCUUUUUCCACUUAUGACUGUAUGACUAUAACUUGUUGCUGGCAAUCCUUAUGAUUUAUAUUGAUAUAUUCACCAUCAAUUGUGUUGUAAAGGUUGUACCUUGAUGAACGUAUCUUUUCUUUUAUGUACACUGAGAGCAUAUGCACCAAGACCUUGUGUGUCCAAUCACACUUGG